rnacentral:rRNA from 1 species
AUACGGGGGGUGCAAGCGUUAUCCGGAAUCACUGGGUUUAAAGGGUGCGUAGGCGGGAUAUUAAGUCAGUGGUGAAAGUCUGUUGCUUAACAAUAGAAUUGCCGUUGAUACUGAUGUUCUUGAAUUGGGUUGAGGUUAGCGGAAUGUGACAUGUAGCGGUGAAAUGCAUAGAUAUGUCAUGGAACACCAAUUGCGAAGGCAGCUAGCUGGGCCUUGAUUGACGCUGAGGCACGAAAGCGUGGGUAGCGAACAGGAUUAGAUACCCUGGUAGUCCACGCCCUAAACGAUGCUAACUCGAUGUUUGGUUUACGGAUUGAGCAUCUAAGGGAAACCGAUAAGUUAGCCACCUGGGGAGUACGACCGCAAGGUUGAA